CGCCGAGCUCGUGCGCACGCCGAGCUCGUGCGCACGCCGAGCUCGUGCGCGCCUGACCCGCGCAGUCCCAGGUGUACGCUCCCCAUCGCUCUCACCUGCCCAAAUCUCGGGGCCGCUGGCAUAACGCCGGGGAGAGCUCAGAGCGAGGCGGAGAUGGUAGAGACCACCCUCUACAUCUCCAACCGGAAGGCGCAUCUUACUACCCAGCAGAAAGAAGAAAACCUCUCUGGGCCAGGACAGCCCAGCCACUGAGAAGCCUCCAUAUUUUGGACGCCCAGCUCCUCCAAUGGACUCCUCGGUUAUUACAGCCCUUCCAAACUACUCCGUUUCCCUGUAAUAGUAAGCGCCCCUUCAUUAUUCUCUGGAUUUGCCGGUGGUCCGUCAUAGAUUACAAUUACUCCCUCUAUUCCUGAACUCACUUUUGCUGGAGGUGGAUCAACCCUUCCCCCCA